UCCAAACCACACUGUGAUGUU
rnacentral:miRNA from 1 species